rnacentral:rRNA from 1 species
UACGUAGGGCGCAAGCGUUGUCCGGAAUUAUUGGGCGUAAAGAGCUCGUAGGCGGUUUGUCGCGUCUGUCGUGAAAGCCCACGGCUUAACCGUGGGUCUGCGGUGGAUACGGGCAGACUAGAGGCAGGUAGGGGAGAAUGGAAUUCCCGGUGUAGCGGUGAAAUGCGCAGAUAUCGGGAGGAACACCGGUGGCGAAGGCGGCUUGCUGGGCCUUACCUGACGCUGAGGAGCGAAAGCGUGGGGAGCGAACAGG